ACAUAACAACUGUUUUUUUCGAACAUACUUUCCAAGACGGGUAUUUUGACAUAUUUUGUAUGUAUUUGUCGGCACAAGAGCAAAAAGAGGCAAAUUCUGUGUUCAAGUAUUUUGAGACGCCUUUCUCUGCGUGAGCCCUAAACACCAGAACACCGUGGUGCUGAAAUUGGCUUUUUUACAUCCUUUUCUGUUUGUUUAAACUGCUAUUUGUAUUUGUUCGUUCAGGUGCAGGAGGAAAUUCGAAGAGAACUUCGCAAAGGAGAUCUGGGUUCAGUGUUGCUGUCUGUCAGACACAGCUCUGAGACUGUAAGAUGCGUGCACACCGAACACAGCACGCGAGAGCAGACAGAUGAUGUGACUUAUACUGAAGUUACUGCGGUCAGUAAAGCCAGAGCCCAAAAGAACAAGGUGAGCAAACACUUCUUGUCCUCUCAUGGAUGUCCUCCUUCUCUCAGUGUAACCUGUAUCUCUUUUAUUCUGAUAUAAAUGUGUGGUGAACUGAGCUCAAACCUCAUGCUGUAAUAACUGUGGGUUGAAACAAUCUCUGUGAUGUUGGUUCAGGUUUGCUGUGAUGAUAAAGUGACUUACGCUUCCAUCAGAGGAGUAAAAGCCGGAGAUCAGGAAGACUGCAGUCAACUUUACGCUUCUGUGAACAAGAACCAUCACAAAUCAGGAAAAUAAUCAUAAGAUAAUCACACCAGCAGAGCAAUAUGAGCCUUAAAUAACUGACUCUUCAUGGUUUCAUUCAGUGCCAUUAUAUAUAUUCAAUGCUGCAUGGAUUAGGAACCAAUUACAGUUCAUUACCCAUAUAUAUAUAAUUUUUUUUUUAAGUAGCUGUCUGUGUGUCUUUAUUAUUAAUUAAGGCUCUGUUUGCACAAAGUCUAGAAAAUAGAGAACAGUUUUACUCUCUUAGAUCAUUCUCAUUAAAUCGUUGAUUGUCUCGAGUGAUUAAUUAACUGUCAGCUUGCACUAAUUAUGGCAAAGCUACUGUGUAAGAUGAUGUAAGCAUUUAUCACAAUAUGACAGGAAUCAUAAUUUGGUGUUUGAACCGUUUGAACAGCUGCUUUCAGCAAUACUUGUAAAAUUAUAUUUUGUCUGUCAAUAAUAAAAUAUCC
rnacentral:lncRNA from 1 species